GGGAGGCUUUGAAACUCGGACGCCAGUUCGAGUGGAGCCAACCUUGAAAUACCAGCCUGGCAUGUUUGAGGUUCUAACUCUGGCCCCUUAUCGGGGUUGAGGACACUGUGUGGUGGGUAGUUUGACUGGGGCGGUCUCCUCCCAAAGCGUAACGGAGGAGCACAAAGGUUGGCUAAGCACGGUCGGACAUCGUACGGUUAGUGUAAUGGUAGAAGCCAGCUUAACUGCGAGACAGACACGUCGAGCAGGUACGAAAGUAGGUCAUAGUGAUCCGGUGGUUCUGUAUGGAAGGGCCAUCGCUCAACGGAUAAAAGGUACUCCGGGGAUAACAGGCUGAUACCGCCCAAGAGUUCAUAUCGACGGCGGUGUUUGGCACCUCGAUGUCGGCUCAUCACAUCCUGGGGCUGAAGUCGGUCCCAAGGGUAUGGCUGUUCGCCAUUUAAAGUGGUACGCGAGCUGGGUUUAGAACGUCGUGAGACAGUUCGGUCCCUAUCUGCCGUGG
rnacentral:rRNA from 1 species